GCUGUGACUGUGAACCUUGGAUUUUGCAGAUGGGGUCAGCACACCCCUAUCAUGUUAGCAGUAGCUGGAUAAUUGGAUUAAUCUGCUAGUAAAUGUGUAGGGUAGAAAUGAUUGAAUUUUUGUGGCAAUUCUGCUAGUUAUUCAGCUUUUCCUGUAAGUGGAUAUACACAUAGGAACUUCAUGGCUCCAUGAAAAAAGAAAAAAAUAGCUAAGCUGUGGAUGCCCUAGAAUACAGGGUAUACCCCCUUGGUUCAAAUCAGUUGUCAUUGGAGCAUAAGAUACGAGAUGGAGCUCUGUAUGUCAGACAUUCUUAUGUCUUCUAUAAAAAUAUGUGUGUGAGAGAGACAGAAAAAUGUAGACAGAUGGGAAGGUAGAUAGAGAGCAAGAGCACACAAGAAUGUGCAUACACAAAACAUGUUUACAGUAAGCCAGUUAAUCUGAAAAUUUCCCAGGAGCUGGCAGCAGCAGAGAAGCCGAUCCGCCUCAGUACCCUAACGAGAACGCCCCUUGCCCUCUCUAAACCGUGCUGGCAAGCUCUCCUUGGGCUUCCUGGCAAGUGGAGCAACGUGUUCAUCCCCUAAUCCCUUAUCACAGCUCUGCCUUGGAGCCAGGCCCACUGUAAACAACCAGUGACCCACAGACACGCAGCUUUGUGCCUGACUACAGUGCUUCUGCUCCUGGGCACCACAAGCAACAAGUAAUUAGCCCCUGGUCUCCUGCAGAAAAAAAUGUUGUUCUGCUCCUACCCACUCUGGAAAACACUGGUUUUCCUAAGUUCAGCACUGCUUCUUGCAGAUUUUACUGACAUCAGAGCUUUGGCCAGUCCAAGUGAAUGCAAAAGUGCAACCAUAGGCGAUGUGAAUGAGUCUCUUGAGAAAUAUUCAAAAUGCCUUCCUGAAAUGAUUGCCAAGGGUGAGAAAGCUUCAAUCAAUUCCCUUGUCUGGACACUGCAAGAAACACUUGAUCUCCUGCGCCCUGUUCAAGAGAAAUUUUGCAAGCAGCUACCUCCAUGCCCUCUCCCACUGGCCCCGAGAAAUGGUGGGCUCGUGUGUGUCACCAUCGACAGCGCUCAGUACUGCAAACCCAUGUGCAACAAGGGUUAUGACUUCCAGUUCCUCAGAAGCAGCAGACUGUAUGAAGUAUGUGGCAAUGCCACUGGGUUUUCCUGGACCACACAGCUUGUUGGGGGAAAGGCACUGGCUGUUUGCAACCCCUCUGAGAUGGCCAUCAGUGGAGCUAAAUCUGCCUAUUUCCCCAGCAACAGCACCUGUCUGCACACACUAGCCUUCCCUGAAACUCAGAGAGAGCAGCUAAACAUCUUCCUCAAAGAGCUUGCUGAGCAAGGCAUCGACAGCUCCAAACGGGAUGAGGAGGCUGAUUGUAUCAUCUGUGGUUACUAGCACCAAAAAGCUUGUGCCACAGACCAGCCAGCUGCCUGCAGUCUGACAUGGGUAUUUUGACAAGAGAAGCAAAGCAGUGCAAUCAUUUCUAAGACAUGGAUCGGUGAUGUUGCUGCUGUUCCCAGGGCUGGCUCACACCGAGCCGUGCAGCGAGAUCUGCGGCACACGCUUCAUCCUCCAGACCACCACGGCAGCCGGGGGCAGAAGCAUGAGGACACUCAUCGUCAGCACCGCGGCGAGGAUG